AACGAACGCUGGCGGCAUGCCUAACACAUGCAAGUCGAACGAGACCUCCGGGUCUAGUGGCGCACGGGUGCGUCACGCGGGGGAACCUGCCCUUAGGUUCGGAAUAACACCCCGACAGGGGUGCUAAUACCGGAUAAUGUCCUCGGACACAAGAUUUGUCGUCUUUGGAUGGGCACGCGUUGGAUUAACUAGUUGGUAGGGGAAAAGCCUACCAAGGGGAAGAUCCAUAGCUGGUCUGAGAGAAGGAUCAGCGACCCUGGGACGGAGACACGGCCCAGAAUCCUGCGGGAUGCAGCAGUGCCUAAUAGUGGACGAUCGGCGAAGGCCUGAUCCAGCAAUGCCGGGUAAGUGAUGAUGUCCUUAAGGUUAUCAAGCCCUUUUACACGGGGUGAUAAUGACCGUACCGGGAGAAUAAGCACCGGCUAACUCCGUG
rnacentral:rRNA from 1 species